AAUUGCAGGUAAUUGCAAUUUCUCUUCUUUUCUUGCUCUAUUCGGUUUUAGGCUUAAUGACCCACUUAAAAAAAUCUUAUCUUUUACCUUCCAAGAUCCUCAAUUUGCUUUGCCUUUUCGCUUUCGCUGAGGAAUUUUUGCUUUUUUACCUUCAACGUAAAGACCCAAGUGGAGUUGAGAAUCGUUACUAUGAUCUGCUGAGGAAUUUUUGCUUUUUUACCUUCAAAGAAAAGACCCAAGUGGAGUUGAGAAUCGUUACUAUGAUCUCUUGCUUGUGCCUAUUACUAUUUGUGCAUUUUGUUCAAUUCUUGAAUUAAAAAAUCUCAAAUUGAAAUAUGCUAAAUUGGGACGUGGGAUUGGGUU
rnacentral:lncRNA from 1 species